rnacentral:rRNA from 1 species
UACGAGGGGUGCAAGCGUUGCUCGGAAUUAUUGGGCGUAAAGGGCAGGUAGGUGGUCUUAUUUGUCUUGUGUGAAAUCCUUGGGCUUAACUCAAGAAGUGCGCAAGAAACGGUAAGACUAGAGUCCCAGAGAGGCUUGUGGAAUUCCCGGUGUAGCGGUGAAAUGCGCAGAUAUCAGGAGGAACACCGGUGGCGAAGGCGGCCUGCUGGGCAGUUGCUGACACUGAGGCGCGACAGCGUGGGGAGCAAACAGG